ACCUCCAGCUUCUAUUUUGGGCGGGAGAGGAUCUGGCAGGAACAUGAAUAAUAGAUGCCCCUAAACUUAGCAGGUUCGGUGGCAGCUCAUUUCUGUGGUGUGCCUGAGCGCUCCAGUGCCUCUCGCCCCGGGAAAGUGCCAGGCACGCGGAACUUUGAAAACACCGAGGAGGAAAUGGGAGGGCUUUUAAGUCUACUGAGUAAAUAGAUCACCGUACCUACUGUCCAAAGCACCCUUGCACAGGACGGAGAGGAGUGCGUUAAAACACAAAGCCCCAUCGGAGAGACUCAGAAUGCGGCCAGCACAAGUGGCAUGCUAUGGGCAGGCUCGCGUGGUGCUUCGUACUCCCCUUGUCUGCCCUGCAUCCCUGGAGAGGCCAGAGCGAGGCCAGCGCAUCUUUCAACCUGCCCCAAACUCAUUCCUCCCUCGGUCGGGUUCGGGCCUCUGCCCUGGCCUUGGUGCCCCAACCCAGAUAGUUCAGCCACUUUCCGUCCUACCCUAUACCCAGAUGCUGAAAUCCAAAUAGAAGUUAGUCUCCCCAUUGUGGCGGUCUUUCGGAGGCUAUCUUUAUUGGGCGCGGCUCGGAGGAGCCCCUUUACUUGGUGCUGCGCACUCCAAGCCAGCGCCACGGGCUGCCUUGUGCACCUCCACUGUCCGGCACCCCGGCGGGGGUUCUGGGGCUGCGCUGGGAAACCCCACCGCGCCGACCCCUUAGGAACCGGAGGCUAAGGAAAAGCCAGGGUUUCUCGGUCCUGAGACGGGCACCGCUGUCCUCUGGGUCCCGCCUGCCUGCCUGCUUUCCCUUCCUCCUCUCUCGCACUCAUCUUUUCCCCUCCCUUCUUGUGCAGUCUCAUUCUUGUGCUUCCUUCUCCCGAGUCUUUUCCUUAAUCGUAGCCGGCCUACACUUCUCCUCCCCAAGGCAGUCCGGGACGCAAAAAUGCAGUUGGAACCGGAUCGCUUGGAAAAAAGCUCUUCUGGGGAAGGAAUGCGAAUGAGGUGAAGAGGAAGGGCGGAGGAGAGAGAGACCCCGCCCCAAUAGCCCAGAAUAAGCUGUAACAAAGCAAAGUCCCAGGGAGCCACCCGCUCUGCGCCCAGCCUGUCUCUAGGAGCUGAAUGAAGUUCUCUGAACUCGUCCUGAGAACUGGUCAAAGCGUCGCCACUGGGGGCUCAGCCUGCCCCCUUCCUGGGGCCCGGCUGGGGGAGGGGAGGUUUCGCCAAAGGUUGGAGGCUCGCUCUCUCUCCCCGGGCCCCGGCUGCUUGGGGCUCACUCAGAGAGUGGCCCCGAGAUUUGGCGAGCCUACUCCGCCCCUGCUUAGCUACCCCGGGCCCUAGAGCAGCCAAGACUGGGAGAGGCGCACUAGAGGCGCAGAGAGAGUGGCGCUUAGUAACCUGUGUCCGGGGAACGGCAGGAGGGCGACCGUGAGGAGGUAUCCGGCGAAGGGAACCUCAGCUCAUCCCAGGCACCCAGAACCUACCUGAUCCCAGGGAACCGGAGUCCGGCGGCUGCAGUCACGUAAUGAUCGGGUAUCAGAAAAAAAGACGUCAGCAUCCAAGUCCCUCAAGGAAUGUAUUAACUAUUCUGUCCUCUAGGAUGAUAAGAUCCGGAGUCAUCGCCUUCUCAUAAACACCUUUCACUCAUACAAUCCAAUUGUUAAGAAGUCUAAUUAUUUUGAUGGUUUUUCAGUUUUACCCAUUCCUCAAGGAUGGGUAAAGAAUUUGUAGAAUUUCUAAGGUGGUAAAAGUCAUGUUUUUAGCUAUCUCCAUACUGUUUCUUUUUCCUAUUUUUUUUUUUUAAUCAAGCCUUACCAAUGAAAGCUCUGGUCCCUGGAAUGAAGCACCAUCAAGCUCUCCUAUUAAUAAAUUUAAUUUAGAUCUCCUAA